rnacentral:rRNA from 1 species
UACAGAGGGUGCGAGCGUUGUCCGGAUCACUGGGCGUAAAGGGCGCGUAGGUGGCCCGACAAGUCGCUGGUGAAAGCUCGACGCUCAACGUCGAGUCGGCCAGUGAUACUGUUGGGCUGGAGCACUGUAGAGGCUCAUGGAAUUCCGGGUGUAGCGGUGGAAUGCGUAGAGAUCCGGAAGAACACCGGUGGCGAGGCGGUGAGCUGG